CUGGUUAUUUCUCGAUCCAGUUUCUUUGUUGCUAUGGAAAAGCAGUCCUCAACCAAAGGCUGACGUCUCUCAAGCCCUUCUCAAAGAAGGCACGGAGGCAAAGAAAGGUGUGGAGAGAAGGGUCGUGGAUGAUCUGAAAUAGAGUGUUUCUGGAUAGGGCUCUCAGGGAAACCUAUACAGGGAGAUUGAUAGCGCUGGAGGGACCCCUGGCCUCCUCCAGAGGCCACUGUGAUCUCAUUUCCGCCUCCUCGGUCCAUCUGCUCUUCUACGUCUCCUCCAAGCCUACCUUUACAUGAUGCAGAAAUUGGUCAUUGGUCAUGCUAUCUGCAUCUCUUGUGUGCUUCCUUUCUCAUGGAAGCUAUUGAAGUAAGGCAUCAUUAUUACAUGAGAGUGGCCUUUCCCAGAAUCCCAGGCUUUUUCCCAUGAAACUUUAUAUGCUGUAAGAACCAGAGUCCACAUCAGUCAUCCUUAACAAGAUGUGGGAACCCAACUAUGGGCCUAUUUGGCAGGCAGAAAAAUCUCCUUCAAAACAAAUGGUAAACAAACAUUAUGAAAAUGCUUUUUUAGCAUUGGUGACACAAAUUUAGGAUAUUCAACCGUGUCUCAUAUUAAAAUUUUAUUCUCUUUUUAGAUAUCAUCCCAGUAAUUAUAUAACAUUCCAUUAUGAGUGUAGUUC